rnacentral:rRNA from 1 species
UCGAGAAUUUUUCUCAAUGGGGGAAACCCUGAAGGAGCGACGCCGCGUGGGGGAUGAAUGGCUUCGGCCCGUAAACCCCUGUCAUUUGCGAUCAAACCUUACGACCUAACACGUCGUAAGCUGAUAGUAGCGGAAGAGGAAGGGACGGCUAACUCUGUGCCAGCAGCCGCGGUAAUACAGAGGUCCCAAGCGUUGUUCGGAUUCACUGGGCGUAAAGGGUGCGUAGGCGGUCGGGUAAGUCUGACGUGAAAUCUUCGAGCCUAACUCGGAAACUGCGUCGGAUACUAUUCGGCUAGAGGAAUGGAGGGGAGACUGGAAUACUUGGUGUAGCAGUGAAAUGCGUAGAUAUCAAGUGGAACACCAGUGGCGAAGGCGAGUCUCUGGACAUUUCCUGACGCUGAGGCACGAAAGCCAGGGGAGCAAACGGGAUUAGAUACCCUUGUAGUCCCUGAGCGGGCUGGCAAGGCGCAU